rnacentral:rRNA from 1 species
GUUAUCGUUUAUUUGAUAGUACCUUAUCACUUGGAUAACCGUGGUAAUUCUAGAGCUAAUACAUGCUGAAAACCCCGACUCCGGAAGGGGUGUAUUUAUUAGAUAAAAAGCCAAUGCCCCUCGGGGCUCCGUGGUGAUUCAUGAUAACUUCACGAACCGCAUGGCCUUGCGCCGGCGGUGGUUCAUUCAAAUUUCUGCCCUAUCAACUUUCGAUUGUUGGGUAUUGGCCAACAAUGGUUACGACGGGUAACGGGGAAUUAGGGUUCGAUUCCGGAGAGGGAGCCUGAGAAACGGCUACCACAUCCAAGGAAGGCAGCAGGCGCGCAAAUUACCCAAUCCCGACACGGGGAGGUAGUAAGUUAACGUCUCUUUUUUCUCUAUGGUUUAGGAAUGAUUUACUAAUUCUAUCUGCUUUUCUAGGUGACAAUAAAUACUGAUACAGGGCUCUUUUGGGUCUUGUAAUUGGAAUGAGUACAAUUUAAAUACCUUAACGAGGAACAAUUGGAGGGCAAGUCUGGUGCCAGCAGCCGCGGUAAUUCCAGCUCCAAUAGCGUAUAUUAAAGUUGUUGCAGUUAAAAAGCUCGUAGUUGAACCUUGGCCCUGGCUAGCCGGUCCGCCUCACCGCGUGUACUGGUCCGGUCGGGGCUUUCCUCCUGGGGAUCCGCAUGGUCUUUACUGGUCGUGUCGGGGAACCAGGACUUUUACUUUGAAAAAAUUAGAGUGUUCAAAGCAGGCAUCCGCUCGAAUACAUUAGCAUGGAAUAAUGGAAUAGG